rnacentral:lncRNA from 1 species
GCCAAAUCCCUGCCUUACUGACCUCUCCCCUGGAGGAGCAGGAGCAGCGCUCAAGGCCGCCUUGGGAGGGCUGAGAGGCAGGCUCUGGACUGGGGACACAGGGAUAGCUGAGCCCCAGCUGGGGGUGGAAGCUGAGCCAGAGACAGUCACAGAGGAACAAGAUCAAGAUGCGCUUUAACUGAGAAGCCCCCAAGGCAGAGGCUGAGAAUCAGAAGACAUUUCAGCAGACCCUAGUGACCUCUCUUUGGCUCUUCAGCAUCUACAAAUCUGAAGGACAAAACAUGGUUCAAGCAUCUGGGCACAGGCGCUCGGGCCACUGUAUCAGGUCCACCCGUGGCUCCAAAAUGGUCUCCUGGUCCGUGAUAGCAAAGAUCCAGGAAAUAUGAUGCGAGGAAGAUGAGAGGAAGAUGGCGCGAGAGUUCCUGGCCAAGUUCAUGAGCACAUAUGUCAUGAUGAUAAGAUCUAAGGCACAUGAGAUGAUACGCUUUCUGUUUGAGUUUCUCCUUUAUGUUACGCAUACUGAUAAAAUUGUUGACGCCAGUUGAUCUGAAGGUCCCAGCAAGGAGCCGACUCACAGAAGAAUGCAGUUUUCACAUUGUGAUGAUUUAAUCUUCCUUGACCUGAGCAAUUGACAACCCCAAUUCUCCAGAACCUCACCCGCCACAAUCCCCUUAAAAACCCUGGUCCAGAACCCCUCAAGCAGACAGAUUUGAAGCUUGAGGAUUCCUUCAUCUCUUUGCCCAAUGGCAUUGUGAUUAUUAAACUCUUUUUCUG